rnacentral:rRNA from 1 species
AUGGUGUAUUCAACACUCAAUAGAUCAGUACGAACUGCUAACAAUUCAGUACUAAUUGUUGAAAAUUUUGGCACUGAAUACCUCGGUCAGAGAUGGGAUAAUGCAGAGGAGAGGACAGAGGAGAUCGAACAGGUGCAGGGGAGACGGCGUGCAGGUGCAGGCACAUCCUCCCCCUCCUCCAGCUUCGUGGUCAUCUCUUAUCGACAGCAGCGAGCCGGCGAGGAGGUGGUCGACGGCGGACAGGUGGAGACGGCGGCGGUCGACCCUCAACUCGACGGCAGGCAGCUGCACGCGCUGCGCUCCCUCCUCUUCUCCUCUUUCCCUCCAGUACUGCGGCUUCGUGGUCUACGGCGAGGUGGUUGA